rnacentral:rRNA from 1 species
CACGUAGGGCGCAAGCGUUGUCCGGAAUCAUUGGGCGUAAAGCGCGCGUAGGCGGCCCGGUAAGUCCGCUGUGAAAGUCAAAGGCUCAACCUUUGAAUGUCAGCGGAUACUGCCGGGCUAGAGUCCGGAAGAGGCGAGUGGAACUCCUGGUGGUAGCGGUGGAAUGCGCAGAUAUCAGGAAGAACACCAACGGCGAAGGCAGCUCGCUGGGACGGAACUGACGCUAAGGCGCGAAAGCGUGGGGAGCGAACAGG